rnacentral:rRNA from 1 species
AACGAACGCUGGCGGCAGGCUUAACACAUGCAAGUCGAGCGCACAGAUGAAGUGCUUGCACUUCUGACGUUAGCGGCGAACGGGUGAGUAACACGUAAGGAAUCUACCUAUAAGCGGGGGAUAACAUUCGGAAACGGGUGCUAAUACCGCAUAAUAUCUUCUUCCGCAGGGAAGAAGAUUGAAAGACGGCUCUGCUGUCACUUAUAGAUGACCUUGCGGUGCAUUAGUUAGUUGGGGGGGUAGGGCCUACCAAGACGAUGAUGCAUAGCCGACCUAGGAGGGUGAUCGGCCACAUUGGGACGGAGACACGGCCCAAACUCCUACGGGAGGCAGCAGUAGGGAAUCUUCCGCAAUGGGCGAAAGCCUGACGGAGCAACGCCGCGUGAGUGAUGAAGGGUUUCGGCUCGUAAAACUCUGUUAUUAGGGAAGAACAAAUGUGUAAGUAACUGUGCACAUCUUGACGGUACCUAAUCAGAAAGCCACGGCUAACUACGUGCCAGCAGCCGCGGUAA